AAUUGACGUUACCCGCAGAAGAAGCACCGGCUAACUCCGUGCCAGCAGCCGCGGUAAUACGGAGGGUGCAAGCGUUAAUCGGAAUUACUGGGCGUAAAGCGCACGCAGGCGGUUGAUUAAGUCAGAUGUGAAAUCCCCGGGCUUAACCUGGGAACUGCAUUUGAAACUGGUCAGCUUGAGUCUCGUAGAGGGGGGUAGAAUUCCAGGUG
rnacentral:rRNA from 1 species